rnacentral:rRNA from 1 species
UACGUAGGGACCAAGCGUUGUCCGGAAUCAUUGGGCGUAAAGAGCGUGUAGGCGGCCAGACAGGUCAGCUGUGAAAACUCGAGGCUCAACCUCGAGACGUCGGUUGAAACCGUCUGGCUAGAGUCCGGAAGAGGAGAGUGGAAUUCCCGGUGUAGCGGUGAAAUGCGCAGAUAUCGGGAAGAACACCCGUGGCGAAGGCGGCUCUCUGGGACGGUACUGACGCUGAGACGCGAAAGCGUGGGGAGCGAACAGG